UGACCUAAUGGGCACCUUCGGGCAAACCAAAGUUUUUGGGUUCCGGGGGAAGUAUGGUUGCAAAGCUGGAACUUAAAGGAAUUGACGGAAGGGCACCACCAGGAGUGGAGCCUGUGGCUUAAUUUGACUCAACGCGGGGAAGCUCACGAGGCCCGGACACUGGAAGGAUUGACAGAUUGAGAGCUCUUUCUUGAUUCGGUGGGUGGUGGUGCAUGGCCGUUCUUAGUUGGUGGAGUGAUUUGUCUGGUUAAUUCCGAUAACGAACGAGACUCUGGCUUACUAAAUAGGCGGCGGAUCUUUGUAUCCGCUAUGUCUUCUUAGAGGGAUAAGGCAGCUCUAAGCUGCAUGAGAAGGGGCAAUAACAGGUCUGUGAUGCCCUUAGAUGUUCUCGGCCGCACACGCGCUACACUGAAAGAGGCAACGUGUUUGCCUGAUUCGAAAGAAUUGGGUAACCCCCUAAUCUCUUUCGUGCUGGGGAUUGAGGUUUGCAAUUAUCCUUCAUGAACGAGGAAUUCCCAGUAAGUGCGAGUCAUUAUCUCGCGCUGACUACGUCCCUGCCCUUUGUACACACCGCCCGUCGCUACUACCGAUUGAAUGAUUUAGUGAGGACUUCGGACUGAGUCCAAUGCGGCUUUCGGG
rnacentral:rRNA from 1 species